rnacentral:tRNA from 1 species
CCGUCGAUAGCUCAGUUGGUAGAGCGGUGGACUGUAGAAGACAAUUACUGGCAUCCAUAGGUCGCUGGUUCGAAUCCGGCUCGACGGA